rnacentral:misc_RNA from 1 species
GAUGAAGAACGCAGCGAAAUGCGAUAAGUAAUGUGAAUUGCAGAAUUCAGUGAAUCAUCGAGUCUUUGAACGCACAUUGCGCCCCCUGGUAUUCCGUGGGGCAUGCCUGUCCGAGCGUCAUUGCUGCCCUCAAGCACGGCUUGUGUGUUGGGCCCCGCCCCCCGGCUCCCGGGGGGCGGGCCCGAAAGGCAGCGGCGGCACCGCGUCCGGUCCUCGAGCGUAUGGGGCUUCGUCACCCGCUCCGUAGGCCCGGCCGGCGCCCGCCGGCGACCCCCCUCAAUCUUUUCAGGUUGACCUCGGAUCAGGUAGGGAUACCCGCUGAACUUAAGAAUAUCAAUAAGCGGAGGA